rnacentral:tRNA from 1 species
GGAUUGUGGCUCAGUGGUAGAGCGCUCACCUAGCAUGUGCAAAGCCCUGGGUUCGAUCCUCAGCACCA